GAUGUGUAUGGUCCAUGCACAUGCUGCAUAUUUGGCAUUUAUUACCCAUCUCACAUUGGCUAACAAUAAAAUUAAUAAAUUCAACAGUCAUGUGCUACAACAACACAUCUGAAAAAAACAAACGUUGAGAAAGAGAGAGAGAGAGAGAGAGAGAGAGAGAGAGAGAGACGAAUCAAGUCUGGGCAUUUAGUUUUCACCAGCUACACCUUACGACUAAGCUACCAUUUGAAUCAAAUUAAGAUACUAACUUCUUUCAACUGCGAUUGCUUGCUCAUUGGUUUUGCC
rnacentral:lncRNA from 1 species